ACUAUAUAUUUGUCCAACAUAUCUACGGAUUGAAUAGUCCGUAAAAAAGCUAGAUCAUUAUUGUUCCUCUUAAUGCAAUGACAUUAUUCUAAAAAUGUGUUUUCAAAAUUUAUCGACCUGGCACACUUUAAUAAGAUGAGGGCCGCUCAUGCAUUUAAUUAUUAUUAAUUUUUUAUUAUAACUUAUCAAGUUACAAAUACAAGGAUUUUAAUUUUAUUAGUCUACUAAUAAAGGGCUCAUUUUCCCCUAAGACCUUCAAAGUAUAUGGAGAUGGACAGGGCACAGAAUCUGAAGCUGGUAAACACCAAAAAAAAAAAAACCCUCAGCUGGUGUGGCGCGCAGAAGUCAAGUCCACUCCGCUGGCAGCUAGCAGUUCGGGGACACGUUGGUGCCGACGUGGCGACGUGUCAGCCGGUCCAUGCAUGCACGCGUUCGUAUGCGUGGGUUUCCAUUCCAAUGAACAGCUCCCGG
rnacentral:lncRNA from 1 species